CUUAUUUCCGGCUUCGGCCCACCUACACUCUUACGGCUCCAAGCCAAGUCUUUUCCAAUUGGCAGCCAACGAGACCAGACGUCUCAGUUUAAGAAGAAAACUAAAGGUGACUACCAACAGCAGCAAAUUAUAAAGCUUAAAGCUCAAAGCUGAGGAAACUGCAGAGGAGGAGAUUAUUUGCUGGUUUCUUUUUGGUUUUGCUAGUGAACAAAAAAAAAAAGGAAAAACUACUGCCACGUGCCAGGUCCAUCCAGGGGCUUGGCAGCGGAAUUUUUUUUGUGGCAGAUGGACAAAUUUUUUUGUAUGGAGAGGUUAAGGCCGUCCUGGGAAAAGUCAGCAGCCAGCGGAAAAUUUAGUAAAAGUGGAAAUUGGAAAUUAAAUUAGCCAAGAAAACCCAUGCUUAAAAAUAGUGCUUAAAAAUUAUGACUAAAAUU